rnacentral:rRNA from 1 species
CAGUCGAGCGACUGAUUAGAAGCUUGCUUCUAUGACGUUAGCGGCGGACGGGUGAGUAACACGUGGGCAACCUGCCUGUAAGACUGGGAUAACUUCGGGAAACCGAAGCUAAUACCGGAUAGGAUCUUCUCCUUCAUGGGAGAUGAUUGAAAGAUGGUUUCGGCUAUCACUUACAGAUGGGCCCGCGGUGCAUUAGCUAGUUGGUGAGGUAACGGCUCACCAAGGCAACGAUGCAUAGCCGACCUGAGAGGGUGAUCGGCCACACUGGGACUGAGACACGGCCCAGACUCCUACGGGAGGCAGCAGUAGGGAAUCUUCCGCAAUGGACGAAAGUCUGACGGAGCAACGCCGCGUGAGUGAUGAAGGCUUUCGGGUCGUAAAACUCUGUUGUUAGGGAAGAACAAGUACGAGAGUAACUGCUCGUACCUUGACGGUACCUAACCAGAAAGCCACGGCUAACUACGUGCCAGCAGCCGCGGUAAUACGUAGGUGGCAAGCGUUAUCCGGAAUUAUUGGGCGUAAAGCGCGCGCAGGCGGUUUCUUAAGUCUGAUGUGAAAGCCCACGGCUCAACCGUGGAGGGUCAUUGGAAACUGGGGAACUUGAGUGCAGAAGAGAAAAGCGGAAUUCCACGUGUAGCGGUGAAAUGCGUAGAGAUGUGGAGGGACACCAGUGGCGAAGGCGGCUUUUUGGUCUGUANUGACGCUGAGCGCGA